AUCCUUUUGUAGUUCAUAAGUGUGAUGGUUGAGUUUUCACAUGCAUGUGAGAUGUGCCUCCCUCAAACCUUGUUAUGUUGGCACAUUACCUGUCUGACA
ensembl:snoRNA